GCAAAAGUACUUUGUAUUUUUUUAUUUUUGUAUUUAUUUAUUUGAUUUCGAACAUGCAAAGAAAAAUAAGACAAAACAAAGCAACUUAAGACCUAAACAAAAUAACGUUUAAAUGGACAGAAUUGAUCUUCAAGCACAUACAAGUCUGAGUAGUGCAUGGUCGAAAAGGAGUAGGAAGAAGUCUAAACUUAUUUAAUCCAACCCCUCAGUGCUUUUACACCUUUAUCAUUAACUUAAUACAACAACAGCCUACACUAUUUCCCUCAUUUUAGCAUCGAACCACAAAGUAAAACAUAAGCAAAGAAUAAAGACAGGGAAAUUAUAAAGAAGAACUUUUUAGAGGAGUGGUACAAAUUCUGGGCGGCUAGAAGAUACAAACUUCAUCCAUUUGACCCAAAUAUGGUCAAAUGUAUCCCUCUGCAUUCUUAUAUAAGAACUUUUU